GCUUUGCUGAAGAGUCCCAAACUGGGACGAAACAACUGUCCAGUAC
rnacentral:hammerhead_ribozyme from 1 species